rnacentral:rRNA from 1 species
AGCAGCCGCGGUAAUUCCAGCUCCAAUAGCGUAUAUUAAAGUUGUUGCAGUUAAAAAGCUCGUAGUUGAAUUUCGGGAUCAAAUUGUCGGUCGUGCCUCGGUACGCACUGGUAUUAUUGGUUCCUACCUUCUGAAGAACCGCGAUGUCAUUAAUUUGGUGUCGUGGGGAAUCAGGACUGUUACUUUGAAAAAAUUAGAGUGUUUAAAGCAGGCUUACGCUUGAAUACAUUAGCAUGGAAUAAUGAAAUAGGACGUUUGAUUCUAUUUUGAUGGUUUCUAGGAUUGACGUAAUGAUUAAUAGGGAUAGUUGGGGGCAUUAGUAUUCAAUUGUCAGAGGUGAAAUUCUUGGAUUUAUUGAAGACUAACUACUGCGAAAGCAUUUGCCAAGGAUGUUUUCAUUAAUCAAGAACGAAAGUUAGGGGAUCGAAGACGAUCAGAUACCGUCGUAGUCUUAACCAUAAACUAUGCCGACUAGGGAUCGGAUGAUGUUAAUUUUUUAAUGACUCA